rnacentral:rRNA from 1 species
CAAUCUGCCCCUGACUCUGGGAUAAGCGCUGGAAACGGCGUCUAAUACCGGAUACGAGCUGCGAAGGCAUCUUCAGCAGCUGGAAAGAAUUUCGGUCAGGGAUGAGCUCGCGGCCUAUCAGCUUGUUGGUGAGGUAACGGCUCACCAAGGCGUCGACGGGUAGCCGGCCUGAGAGGGUGACCGGCCACACUGGGACUGAGACACGGCCCAGACUCCUACGGGAGGCAGCAGUGGGGAAUAUUGCACAAUGGGCGAAAGCCUGAUGCAGCAACGCCGCGUGAGGGACGACGGCCUUCGGGUUGUAAACCUCUUUUAGCAGGAAAAGAAGCGAAAGUGACGGUACCUGCAGAAAAAGCGCCGGCUAACUACGUGCCAGCAGCCGCGGGUAAUACGUAGGGCGCAAGCGUUAUCCGGGAAUUAUUGGGCGUAAGGAGCUCGUAGGCGGUCUUGUCGCGUCUGCUGUGAAAACCCGAGGCUCAACCUCGGGGCCUGCAGUGGGUACGGGCAGACUAGAGUUGCGUGUUAGGGGAAGAUUGGAAUUCCUGGUGUAGCGGUGGGAAUGCGCCAGAAUAUCAGGAGGAAACACCC